GGAGAGCUGACCGAGUGGUCGAAGGUGCUUGACUCGAAAUCAAGUGUGUCCGCAAGGGCACCGUGGGUUCGAAUCCCACGCUCUCCGCCA
rnacentral:tRNA from 1 species